AUUGAACGCUGGCGGCAGGCCUAACACAUGCAAGUCGAGCGGAUGAAGGGAGCUUGCUCCUGGAUUCAGCGGCGGACGGGUGAGUAAUGCCUAGGAAUCUGCCUGGUCGUGGGGGAUAACGUCCGUAAACGGGCGCUAAUACCGCAUACGUCCUGAGGGAGAAAGUGGGGGAUCUUCGGACCUCACGCUAUCAGCUGAGCCUAGGUCGGAUUAGCUAGUUGGUGGGGUAAAGGCCUACCAAGGCGACGAUCCGUAACUGGUCUGAGAGGAUGAUCAGUCACACUGGAACUGAGACACGGUCCAGACUCCUACGGGAGGCAGCAGUGGGGAAUAUUGGACAAUGGGCGAAAGCCUGAUCCAGCCAUGCCGCGUGUGUGAAGAAGGUCUUCGGAUUGUAAAGCACUUUAAGUUGGGAGGAAGGGAAGUAAGUUAAUACCUUGCUGUUUUGACGUUACCAACAGAAUAAGCACCGGCUAACUUCGUG
rnacentral:rRNA from 1 species